UACGAAGGGGGCGAGCGUUGUUCGGAUUUACUGGGCGUAAAGCGCGCGUAGGCGGCUUGGCAAGUGAGGCGUGAAAGUCCUGGGCUCAACCCGGGGGACGGCGCUUCAGACUGCUGGGCUUGAGUCCGGAAGAGGGUGGUGGAAUUCCGAGUGUAGAGGUGAAAUUCGUAGAUAUUCGGAGGAACACCGGCGGCGAAGGCGGCCACCUGGUCCGGAACUGACGCUCAAGUGCGAAAGCGUGGGGAGCGAACAGG
rnacentral:rRNA from 1 species